GAUGAACGCUAGCUACAGGCUUAACACAUGCAAGUCGAGGGGCAGCAGGACGAUAGCUUGCUAUUGUUGCUGGCGACCGGCGCACGGGUGAGUAACGCGUAUCCAACCUGGCCCACAGUAGGGAAUAGCCCGGCGAAAGUCGGAUUAAUGCCCUAUGUUCUCCUUUGAUGGCAUCUGACGAGGAGCAAAGGUUUACCGCUAUGGGAUGGGGAUGCGUCUGAUUAGGUAGUCGGCGGGGUAACGGCCCACCGAGCCAUCGAUCAGUAGGGGUUCUGAGAGGAAGGUCCCCCACAUUGGUACUGAGACACGGACCAAACUCC
rnacentral:rRNA from 1 species